AAUUUUGGACAAUGGGGGCAACCCUGAUCCAGCCAUCCCGCGUGUGCGCUGAAGGCCUCCGGGUUGUAAAGCACUUUUGGCAGGGAAGAAAAGGCUCUGGUUAAUACCUGAAGCUGCUGACGGCUCCUGCAGAAUAAGAACCGGCUAACUACGUGCCAGCAGCCGCGGUAAUACGUAAGGUGCAAGAGUUAAUCGGAAUUACUGGGCGUAAAGGGGGCGAGGGCGGUUUGGCAAGAAGGAAGUGAAAUCCCGGGGCUUAAACUCGGAACUGCAUGCUUAACUGCCAGUCUAGAGUAUGACAGAGGGGGGUAGAAUUCCGCGUGUAGCAGUGAAAUGCGUAGAGAUGCGGAGGAAUACCGAUGGCGAAGGCAGCCCCCUGGGAUAAUACUGACGCUCAGGAACGAAAGCGUGGGGAGCAAACA
rnacentral:rRNA from 1 species